UGAGAACAUUAAAUGAAUAUUAGCCUCGCUCUCCUGUCCCUUACUUUCUAAAUCUGUAAACCUAUUAGUUAUUUAUUUCAUUAUUUGCUGCCCAGGUAAUAAUGUUUAAACUGUCAUCUGUGUUUUAUUGAAAGCCAUAAAUAGUUAAAAUAUUUUUAUGUUAAGGGAAUUCUGUUUACUUUCUUUAUGCAUAAAGGUAUAAUAAAAUCCCAGGACCUUUAGCCAACAGCGAAAUGGAAAGCAAAAUAAUAAGAUACUACACACAAGGAUGUGCUAGAAUCAAAUAUAAAGGUAAUGAGUAUUGGCAAGGACAUGGGGAAAUCAAAACUCAUACACAACUAGACAAUAUAAAAUGGUGCAGUUACUGUGGAAAAGAAUCUGGCAGUUCCUCAAAUGGGUAAACAUAGAUCCACAAUUCCACCCCCAUGUAUAUAA